rnacentral:rRNA from 1 species
UACGUAGGUGGCAAGCGUUAUCCGGAAUUAUUGGGCGUAAAGGGAGCGUAGGCGGUUUAUUAAGUCUAUGGUGAAAGUUCGGGGCUCAACCCCGUGAUGCCAUAGAAACUGGUAGACUUGAGUACAAGAGAGGUUAGUGGAAUUCCAUGUGUAGCGGUAAAAUGCGUAGAUAUAUGGAGGAACACCAGUGGCGAAGGCGACUCUCUGGUCUGUAACUGACGCUGAGGCUCGAAAGCGUGGGGAGCAAACAGG